rnacentral:rRNA from 1 species
CAUUUGUUUUUUAAUUGAAGACUUGUAUGAAUGGCUGAACGAGAAAAUAACUGUCUCUUUUAAAAAUCUUGAAUUUUACCUUUAAGUGAAAAGGCUUAAAUAAAUUUAGGGGACGAUAAGACCCUAUAAAUCUUUAUAUUAUUUUUCUUUAAAUUUCAAAUUAUAUAUUAAAAGAAAUAAAAGAAAAAAAUAUUAUAUUGGGGAGAUAAGAAUAUAAUUUUUAACUGUUUUAAAAAUAAAACAAUAAUUUUUGAUUAAAAAAAUUGAUCCUUUUUAAAGAUUUGAAGAUUAAGUUACUUUAGGGAUAACAGCGUAAUUUUUUUUGAGAGUUCUUAUCGAAAAAAAAGUUUGCGACCUCGAUGUUGAAUUAAAAUAUCCUUAUAAGUGCAGAAGCUAUAAAGGAAA